rnacentral:rRNA from 1 species
AUACGUAGGGGGCGAGCGUUGUCCGGAAUGAUUGGGCGUAAAGGGCGCGUAGGCGGCCCGGUAAGUCUGGAGUGAAAGUCCUGUUUUUAAGAUGGGAAUUGCUUUGGAUACUGUCGGGCUUGAGUGCAGGAGAGGUAAGUGGAAUUCCCAGUGUAGCGGUGAAAUGCGUAGAGAUUGGGAGGAACACCAGUGGCGAAGGCGACUUACUGGACUGUAACUGACGCUGAGGCGCGAAAGUGUGGGGAGCAAACAGGAUUAGAUACCCUGGUAGUCCACACUGUAGACGAUGAAUGCUAGGUGUAGGGGGUAUCGACCCCUUCUGUGCCGCAGUCAACACAAUAAGCAUUCCGCCUGGGGAGUACGGCCGCAAGGUUGAAACUCAAAGGAAUUGACGGGG